rnacentral:misc_RNA from 1 species
AAAAUCGCGCCUAUAGAGCCC